rnacentral:misc_RNA from 1 species
GAUGAAGAACGCAGCGAAAUGCGAUACGUUAUGUGAAUUGCAGAUUUCAGUGAAUCAUCGAAUCUUUGAACGCACAUUGCGCCCGCCAGUAUUCUGGCGGGCAUGCCUGUUCGAGCGUCAUUUCAACCAUCAAGCCUUCGCUUGUGUUGGGGCCCCGCGGCUGCCGCGGUCCCCUAAAUCCAGUGGCGGGCUCGUCGUCGUACCGAGCGCAGUAGACAUCCUCGCUCCGGGAACCCGACGGGUGCCGGCCGUGAAACCCCCCACAUCAAGGUUGACCUCGGAUCAGGUAGGAAUACCCGCUGAACUUAAGCAUAUCAAUAAGCGGAGGA